CAGUCGCCGCGGGAAUACGUAGGGUGCAAGCGUUAAUCGGAAUUACUGGGCGUAAAGCGUGCGCAGGCGGUUUGUUAAGACAGAUGUGAAAUCCCCGGGCUCAACCUGGGAACUGCAUUUGUGACUGGCAGGCUAGAGUAUGGCAGAGGGGGGUGGAAUUCCGCGUGUAGCAGUGAAAUGCGUAGAUAUGCGGAGGAACACCGAUGGCGAAGGCAGCCCCCUGGGCCAAUACUGACGCUCAUGCACGAAAGCGUGGGGAGCAAACAGGAUUAGAUACCCCAGUAGUCCCUGUCUCUUAUAC
rnacentral:rRNA from 1 species